rnacentral:tRNA from 1 species
GUAGGUAUGGGUCAGUGGUAGAACAUGUGCUCAGCAUGCACAAGGUCCUGGGUUCAAUCCCCAGUACCUCCA